AUUGAACGCUGGCGGCAUGCCUUACACAUGCAAGUCGAACGGUAACAGGUCUUCGGAUGCUGACGAGUGGCGAACGGGUGAGUAAUACAUCGGAACGUGCCCGAGAGUGGGGGAUAACGAGGCGAAAGCUUUGCUAAUACCGCAUACGAUCUCAGGAUGAAAGCAGGGGACCGCAAGGCCUUGCGCUCACGGAGCGGCCGAUGGCAGAUUAGGUAGUUGGUGGGAUAAAAGCUUACCAAGCCGACGAUCUGUAGCUGGUCUGAGAGGACGACCAGCCACACUGGGACUGAGACACGGCCCAGACUCCUACGGGAGGCAGCAGUGGGGAAUUUUGGACAAUGGGCGCAAGCCUGAUCCAGCCAUGCCGCGUGCAGGAUGAAGGCCUUCGGGUUGUAAACUGCUUUUGUACGGAACGAAAAGACUUUGGUUAAUACCUGGGGUCCAUGACGGUACCGUAAGAAUAAGCACCGGCUAACUACGUGCCAGCAGCCGCUGUAAAAC
rnacentral:rRNA from 1 species